CCGAAUGUUACCAAACAAACCACUGUGAACCGUCCUUUUAGCUGCUUCGGCGGGCGAUCCCAGGGCGGGAUCCCGGGCUCCUUCGGGGGUGCUCGCCGGCGGCCACCUUUCCAGCUCUGUUUCCAGCGGGAUUCUGAGUGAAAACAAAAAAUAAAUCA
rnacentral:misc_RNA from 1 species